CCUACGGGAGGCAGCAGUGAGGGAUAUUGGUCAAUGGCCGGAAGGCUGAACCAGCCAAGUCGCGUGAGGGACGACUGCCCUCUGGGUUGUAAACCUCUUUUGUAAGGGAAGAAUAGAUGCUACGUGUAGCAUGAUGCCUGUACCUUAUGAAUAAGCAUCGGCUAACUCCGUACCAGCAGCAGCGGUAAUACGGGGGAUGCGGGCGUUAUCAGGAUUUAUUGGGUUUAACGGGUGAGUAGGCGGUUUUUUAAGUUAGUGGGUAAGCGUCGGGGCGUCACCUUGAUUUGCCAUUGAUACUGGAAGACUCGAGUGCAGGUGAGGUAGGCGGAAUAAGUUAAGUAGCGGUGAAAUGCUUAGAUAUAACGUAGAACUCCGAUAGCGAAGGCAGCUUACCGGACUGCGACUGACGCUGAAGCACGAGAGCGUGGGUAGCGAACAGGAUUAGAUACCCCAGUAGUC
rnacentral:rRNA from 1 species